GACGAACGCUGGCGGCGUGCUUAACACAUGCAAGUCGAACGGAAAGGCCCUGCUUUUGUGGGGUGCUCGAGUGGCGAACGGGUGAGUAACACGUGAGUAACCUGCCCCUGACUUUGGGAUAACUUCAGGAAACUGGGGCUAAUACCGGAUAGGAGCUCCUGCUGCAUGGUGGGGGUUGGAAAGUUUCGGCGGUUGGGGAUGGACUCGCGGCUUAUCAGCUUGUUGGUGGGGUAGUGGCUUACCAAGGCUUUGACGGGUAGCCGGCCUGAGAGGGUGACCGGCCACAUUGGGACUGAGGUACGGCCCAGACUCCUACGGGAGGCAGCAGUGGAGAAUAUUGCACAAUGGGCGGAAGCCUGAUGCAGCAACGCCGCGUGCGGGAUAACGGCCUUCGGGUUGUAAACCGAUUUCGCAUGUGACGAGGCGUGAGUGACGGUAAUGGGUAAAGAAGCACCGGCUAACUACGUG
rnacentral:rRNA from 1 species